AACGAACGCUGGCGGCAUGCCUAACACAUGCAAGUCGAACGAGACCUUCGGGUCUAGUGGCGCACGGGUGCGUAACGCGUGGGAACCUGCCCUUAGGUUCGGAAUAACUCCCCGAAAGGGGUGCUAAUACCGGAUAAUGUCUUCGGACCAAAGAUUUAUCGCCUUUGGAUGGGCCCGCGUUGGAUUAGCUAGUUGGUAGGGUAAAAGCCUACCAAGGCGACGAUCCAUAGCUGGUCUGAGAGGAUGAUCAGCCACACUGGGACUGAGACACGGCCCAGACUCCUACGGGAGGCAGCAGUGGGGAAUAUUGGACAAUGGGCGAAAGCCUGAUCCAGCAAUGCCGCGUGAGUGAUGAAGGCCUUAGGGUUGUAAAGCUCUUUUACCCGGGAUGUUAAUGACAGUACCGGGAGAAUAAGCUCCGGCUAACUCCGUG
rnacentral:rRNA from 1 species